rnacentral:rRNA from 1 species
AGAGUUUGAUCAUGGCUCAGGAUGAACGCUAGCUACAGGCUUAACACAUGCAAGUCGAGGGGAAACGACAUCGAAAGCUUGCUUUUGAUGGGCGUCGACCGGCGCACGGGUGAGUAACGCGUAUCCAACCUACCCUUGUCCAUCGGAUAACCCGUCGAAAGGCGGCCUAACACGAUAUGCGGUUCACAGCAGGCAUCUAAGGUGAACGAAAUGUGAAGGAGAAGGAUGGGGAUGCGUCUGAUUAGCUUGUUGGCGGGGUAACGGCCCACCAAGGCUACGAUCAGUAGGGGUUCUGAGAGGAAGGUCCCCCACAUUGGAACUGAGACACGGUCCAAACUCCUACGGGAGGCA